GACGUAGGGUCCAAGCGUUGUCCGGAUUUACUGGGCGUAAAGAGCGCGUAGGCGGCUCGAUAAGUGUGAAGUGAAAUCUCUAGGGCUCAACCCAGAAACUGCUUUACAUACUGUCGGGCUGGAGUGAUGAAGAGGUUUGUGGAAUUCCUGGUGUAGCGGUGAAAUGCGUUGAUAUCAGGAGGAACACCCAUGGCGAAGGCAGCAAACUGGUCAUCAACUGACGCUGAGGCGCGAAAGCGUGGGUAGCAAACAGA
rnacentral:rRNA from 1 species